GGCAGCUCUAGUGGUAGCCAUUUUUAUUGGGCCUAAAGCGUUCGUAGCCGGUUUGAUAAGUCUCUGGUGAAAUCCUAUAGCUUAACUGUGGGACUUGCUGGAGAUACUAUUAGACUUGAGGUCGGGAGAGGUUAGCGGUACUCCCAGGGUAGGGGUGAAAUCCUGUAAUCCUGGGAGGACCACCUGUGGCGAAGGCGGCUAACUGGAACGAACCUGACGGUGAGGGACGAAAGCCAGGGGCGCGAACCG
rnacentral:rRNA from 1 species